GAUCCUGGCUCAGGAUGAACGCUGGCGGCGUGCCUAACACAUGCAAGUCGAGCGAAGCGCUUUGUCUUAGAUUCUUCGGAUGAAGAGGUAUUGUGACUGAGCGGCGGACGGGUGAGUAACGCGUGGGUAACCUGCCUCAUACAGGGGGAUAACAGUUAGAAAUGACUGCUAAUACCGCAUAAGACCACAGCACCGCAUGGUGCGGGGGUAAAAAACUCCGGUGGUAUGAGAUGGACCCGCG
rnacentral:rRNA from 1 species